rnacentral:lncRNA from 1 species
AACGCAAAAAUGAAAAUUUGAUACAUAUUUAAUUGUACACUGAUUUGGACACAGUUGCAACAGCUCUACACACGCCACUGCAAUGUGAGCUCAAAUGGUUGUAACAACAUGAAGCCAUGUCAGGUUGCAGGAAAGCAGCAACACAUCCUUAUUAUUAUUGUUCUUAUAGCAUCGAAUUGCAUUCUCUCUUCAGGUAUGCUUUGCUGAGAAGGAUGCUGACGAACCGUGGUUAGACCAGACCAAAACUCUCCAAAAGGGUCUUUGCCGCCGCUUAGGAUUGUGAUUUAUCAUCUCCGAUUCUGAUCUACUCAGCAUUUCCCACAUCACCUGA